rnacentral:tRNA from 1 species
UGGAAUGUAGCUCAGCCGGUAGAGCACCGCCCUGUUAAGGCGAGGGUCGCAGGUUCGAGCCCUGCCGUUCCAG